AGAGUUUGAUCCUGGCUCAGGAUGAACGCUGGCGGCGUGCCUAACACAUGCAAGUCGAACGGAGCUGCUUUGAUGAAGUUUUCGGAUGGAUUUAAAACAGCUUAGUGGCGGACGGGUGAGUAACGCGUGGGUAACCUGCCUCACACUGGGGGAUAACAGUUAGAAAUAGCUGCUAAUACCGCAUAAGCGCACAGUUCCGCAUGGAACAGUGUGAAAAACUCCGGUGGUGUGAGAUGGACCCGCGUCUGAUUAGCCAGUUGGCGGGGUAACGGCCCACCAAAGCGACGAUCAGUAGCCGGCCUGAGAGGGUGAACGGCCACAUUGGGACUGAGACACGGCCCAAACUCCUACGGGAGGCAGCAGUGGGGAAUAUUGCACAAUGGGGGAAACCCUGAUGCAGCGACGCCGCGUGAGCGAAGAAGUAUUUCGGUAUGUAAAGCUCUAUCAGCAGGGAAGAAAAUGACGGUACCUGACUAAGAAGCCCCGGCUAACUACGUGCCAGCAGCCGCGGUAAUACGUAGGGGGCAAGCGUUAUCCGGAUUUACUGGGUGUAAAGGGAGCGUAGACGGUGUGGCAAGUCUGAUGUGAAAGGCAUGGGCUCAACCUGUGGACUGCAUUGGAAACUGUCAUACUUGAGUGCCGGAGGGGUAAGCGGAAUUCCUAGUGUAGCGGUGAAAUGCGUAGAUAUUAGGAGGAACACCAGUGGCGAAGGCGGCUUACUGGACGAUAACUGACGCUGAGGCUCGAAAGCGUGGGGAGCAAACAGGAUUAGAUACCCUGGUAGUCCACGCCGUAAACG
rnacentral:rRNA from 1 species